GAUGAACGCUGGCGGCGUGCCUAAUACAUGCAGGUCGAGCGAACAGACGAGGAGCUUGCUCCUCUGACGUUAGCGGCGGACGGGUGAGUAACACGUGGAUAACCUACCUAUAAGACUGGGAUAACUUCGGGAAACCGGAGCUAAUACCGGAUAAUAUAUUGAACCGCAUGGUUCAAUAGUGAAAGACGGUUUUGCUGUCACUUAUAGGUGGAUCCGCGCCGCAUUAGCUAGUUGGUAAGGUAACGGCUUACCAAGGCGACGAUGCGUAGCCGACCUGAGAGGGUGAUCGGCCACACUGGAACUGAGGCACGGUCCAGACUCCUACGGGAGGCAGCAGUAGGGAAUCUUCCGCAAAGGGCGAAAGCCUGACGGAGCAACGCCGCGUGAGUGAUGAAGGUCUUCGGAUCGUAAAACUCUGUUAUUAGGGAAGAACAAAUGUGUAAGUAACUAUGCACGUCUUGACGGUACCUAAUCAGAAAGCCACGGCUAACUACGUG
rnacentral:rRNA from 1 species